AGUGAACGCUGGCGGUAGGCCUAACACAUGCAAGUCGAACGGCAGCACAGGAGAGCUUGCUCUCUGGGUGGCGAGUGGCGGACGGGUGAGGAAUACAUCGGAAUCUACUCUGUCGUGGGGGAUAACGUAGGGAAACUUACGCUAAUACCGCAUACGACCUACGGGUGAAAGCAGGGGAUCUUCGGACCUUGCGCGAUUGAAUGAGCCGAUGUCGGAUUAGCUAGUUGGCGGGGUAAAGGCCCACCAAGGCGUAGAUCCGUAGCUGGUCUGAGAGGAGGACCAGCAACACUGGAGCUGAGACACCGGCCAGUAGCCUACGGGAGGCAGUAGUGGGGAAUAUUGGACAAUGGGCGCAGGCCUAAUCCAGCCAUACCGCGUGGGUGAAGAAGGCCUACGGGUUGUAAAGCCCUUUUGUUGGGAAAGAAAUCCAGCUGGCUAAUACCCGGUUGGGAUGACGUUACCCAAAGACUAAGCACCGGCUAUCUUCGUGCCAGCCGCCGCCGUAA
rnacentral:rRNA from 1 species